rnacentral:misc_RNA from 1 species
GAAAUGCGAUAAGUAAUGUGAAUUGCAGAGUCUAGUGAAUCAUCGAAUCUUUGAACGCACAUUGCGCCCCUCGGUAUUCCGACGGGCAUGCCUGUCCGAGCGUCGUUUGCACACCCUCGAACCUCACAGUUCGGUCUUGGGCCUUCGUCCCUCUCGUGGGACGGGCCCCGAAGCCAGCGGCGGCCUCGAGCGUCCCGCCGGAGCGUCCUCGACGAAGAACCGCUCCGGCAGGCGCCCGCGGGCCCGCCUACAACACAAACACAAGGCUCGACCUCGGAUCAGGUAGGGAUACCCGCUGAACUUAAGC